rnacentral:misc_RNA from 1 species
ACAAACUUGGUCAUUUAGAGGAAGUAAAAGUCGUAACAAGGUUUCCGUAGGUGAACCUGCGGAAGGAUCAUUAACGAGCAAGGGUCCUCACCGGCCCGACCUCCAACCCUUUGUCGUUCAGAAACCCUUCGUUGCUUUGGCGGGACCGUGGGUCCCCUCCACGGGGGGCCCGCCGCCGGUCUUCGGCCCGGCGAGCGCCCGCCAGAGUCCAACCAAAAACUCUUGUCAUUGAACCUGUACGUCUGAGUAAAAUUGAUAAAUCAAUCAAAACUUUCAACAACGGAUCUCUUGGCUCUGGCAUCGAUGAAGAACGCAGC